UACUGUAACGAUUACGAAAAUACCACAGCAACAAACAAAUGUGAAAGCAUGUAGUGGAAAAUAUUAUAUACUAUUCGGAUGUAUUUUGCGUUUAGAUAGUUUGCCGAUAGACAUUGCAUGGAAAUAAUGUUGAGAAAUAUGUUUUUAAAAAAAGUUUAAUAUUUCGCCCAAAGCAUUUUGUAUAGAUAGUGUGUUGAUAAAUAUCGUUUUGUAAGGCGCGUUAUUUUGACUGCACGAAGUCUUAAAGUGAGGUUAUACUCAUUAAUUAAGUGAGUUUAACAUAACGUUGCCUAUGAAGAUGAGCUAGGAGGCUAAGAAAACGAAGUCAUAUUCUUCGAGAGUUGUGUAUGUUUGCGAAUACAGCUUUUUAAAGAGUGUCACAAAAUUCCUAGCAUCUGUGGAAGGUUACGUUGUACAUAAUAUAAUAUAUGUGUAGUUAAUUCUGUUCGUCACUUUUCAUACAUUCAGUUCACCGACCAUUCUGACAUAACAAUAUAUUUCUGUCCAGUGUAAUCAUCAUUAUGAUCGAAUCACCAAUUUUGUGCCAUCCUGGUUCACAACCUCAUAAGAGUAUACGAAUUGUGUUUACACAUGCAUUUUUACCCUUCCGUGCCUGCUUCUGUAGACAUUUUGAAGUACUUCCAAUCCAGGAACUACACUGAAUUUCUUCGGAAAGUAGAGGAAAAUAGUGCCUUGGAAAACCACGAAGAAGAUGUACUUGAAUUUAGGUUAUGUAUUUUGUGCAUUAUUAACUGGUUUAAUUUUAAUGUACAGGGACUUCAAUUUAUGACGCUGUGGUCGUGCUUGAAGUGCGAGGUCGGCCGGCUCUCUUGGUGUGGGCGGUAUAUUUUCACGUUCAUUCCUUGAGUCGCUGGUGAAUCAAUUUAAUUGCGUCUAUCGUAGCGGAUUGACGUUGAUAAUAUGGUGUAUAGUAUUAAGCAACGUGUGUUCUUAGUCGAAACAUAUACAAAAUAUUCAUCCUACGGAAGAUGCCGCCGUAAAUUUUUCCGACAUUUUCCUGGAGUAUGUGUUCCUAGCAGGUCCAUGAUAGAGAGAUUAGUAAAAAAAUUUCGUAGCACGGGAUCAGUUUUGGAUAAAAAGAAGAACAGGAAACGGAGUGUAUUGACGGAAGAGAAAUUGGAUGAAAUUGGGGCUCUAUUAGAAAAAAGUCCAAGGCAAUCUUUGGCAAGCUUAGCUGCACAAUCCGGCGUGUCAUUGGGAUCUGCUCAAACAGCAACAAGACUUCUGAAACUUAAGCAGAACACUGGUAUAAUCAAAAUGGAAAAUGAUGUUGAUGUUCUAAAUGAAAAUGAUUCCGUUUGCAAGAUAUCUGAUGAGGUUCAUGUACAGUCAGCACUUUCAAUA